UUCCAAGUGGUCUAGUGGUUAGAAUUCCGCGCUCUCACCACAGCGGCUGGGGUUCAGUUCUCCUCUUGGGAA